CGGACGGGUGAGUAACGCGUGAGAAUCUGCCUCUAGGACGGGGACAACAGAAGGAAACUUCUGCUAAUCCCGGAUGAGCCGCAAGGUGAAAGAUUUAUCGCCUAGAGAUGAGCUCGCGUCUGAUUAGCUAGUUGGUAAGGUAAAAGCUUACCAAGGCAACGAUCAGUAGCUGGUCUGAGAGGAUGAUCAGCCACACUGGGACUGAGACACGGCCCAGACUCCUACGGGAGGCAGCAGUGGGGAAUUUUCCGCAAUGGGCGCAAGCCUGACGGAGCAAGACCGCGUGGGGGAGGAAGGCUCUUGGGUUGUAAACCCCUUUUCUCAGGGAAGAACCAAAUGACGGUACCUGAGGAAUCAGCCUCGGCUAACUCCGUGCCAGCAGCCGCGGUAAUACGGAGGAGGCAAGCGUUAUCCGGAAUGAUUGGGCGUAAAGCGUUCGUAGGUGGCUAUUCAAGUCUGCUGUCAAAGACAGAAGCUCAACUUCUGAAAGGCAGUGGAAACUGAGUAGCUGGAGUGCGGUAGGGGCAGAGGGAAUUCCCGGUGUAGCGGUGAAAUGCGUAGAGAUCGGGAAGAACACCGGUGGCGAAAGCGCUCUGCUGGGCCGCAACUGACACUGAGGGACGAAAGCUAGGGGAGCGAAUGGGAUUAGAUACCCCUGUAGUC
rnacentral:rRNA from 1 species